rnacentral:misc_RNA from 1 species
AGGCAACAAUUAAUCCAAUUUUUUCUGAGUUUUGAAAACAUAUGUGAUAAAGGAAUUUGUUGAAGUUUGCUCUCAUUUGGGAAAUCUUUGGCUUGUGCCCUACAUUUCCAGUGUUUAUAAAUAAAAAAAAAUCACCCGGUGGUUGGUCUGAUUUUCCCUACCAUGUCUUUUGUUCACCGACUUGAUAUUGUGCAAUUAUUGUAUGUGUAUCUCUACUAAUCCUUUUGCUUAUGCCAGAGUAUAGCAAAUCAGGAAAUUAUUUUUUUCUUUUUGGAUUUAAUAGUUUAGAAUAUUUCAAGGGUGAAAGUUACGUAUAUUUUACAUUUUAUAUUAUUUUAAUAUCCCACUAGUGUAGCCAACAGUCUUUUCCAAAUUGGUUGAUGCUGAAUACUAAAUAGAAUAAAUCUGAAUGAGCAUUUCAUUCUGAAAGUUGGGAGUGAGAACACUAACAUAAACAAGAAGCAAGGGUAAGGAAUUAAAAUUAUAGAUAGAUGUGACAGGAAUCAUACAAGGGCAAAAUAUUAGGGUUUAUAUAUGAUAUAGUCAUUGUAUUUGGGAAAGCUAAAUACUGAUGUUUUAUGUGUUUAGAUGGAAUUAUUGAAGCACAACCUCGGUGUUGAAUAUUCUGGGCUAAUAAGUAGAUUUCUUCGCAAUUAGUAUAAUGAAUAUGUACCAGAUGUUCUUAGGAAUUUUAAGCACUGAUGUGAAUAGAUUAAAAUGUCAGAGUUGAGAGAGGUUCUUCUCUUUUAAGCAUUAGAACCUAGGUGAUGGAUUACAAAAGCUAUGAUUCAUAAUCAGAAAAGACCAAGAGUAAAUAUAUGGAUGAUAAAAAAAAGGUUAAAAAUCUGCUCAAAGUGACUUAUAUAUAUCCCUGGAACAUAUAAUAUUGAACAAUAUGAAACAAAUCAAAAUAAAGCAUAUCAAGAUGCUCUUCAUAGGCAUGUGAGAGGGUCUUGAAUUAUCAGCCUUUGCCUUACUGUUUUUUCAAUAGAAAUGUGUGACACUUUAAGGUCACAUAUUGCUAUGGAUAUUGAAGAGGUAGAAGUUUGUAUGGAAUGGAUGGGUAGCUGAUAAAUUUGUAAUGCAGCUGUUAUUUAAUAUUAGAAUACAUUUUUCUAUCUUCAACCAUCUAAUACAAUAUACACAUUAUAGCCUCAUUAUCAAGAAUUAUAUGAUAACUUUGUUCACAGUCAUCCAUUAGAUUAGUACAAAGUACUAGGAAUUCUUUACAAAUUGGAAUAGAUUUUAAAUAUUUUAUAAUGGAAAUCACAAGAUUUAUGAACUUUCCAAGAGUGUAAAUUGUGUUGUUUUUAUCAGGAAUUUAAACAAAUAUCUGUACUAAACUUUUAUUUUUGUUUGAGAGUCAAAUUGGAACGUAUCAUGGAAGGAGGCAAUGUCAAAUUGACGGGUUCAAGUAUUCACCAAGAAAUACAGCUGAUCAUCCUCAUCUCUCUGUGGCAGCUACCAUGUCUUAUUCUUCCUCACAGAAAGGAUUCUGAACAAUACAAAGUAGAAGGAUGAGGACUGACUGCAAGGUAUACGUUGGUAAUCUUGGCAACACUGAAGCCAAACACGAGCUGGAAUCGGCCUUCUCCAAGUAUGGACCCCUAGUGAAUGUGUGGGUGGCAAGGAACCCACCUGGAUUUGCCUUUGUGGAAUUCGAGGACCCUCGGGAUGCAGAAGAUGCUGUGCGGGCCCUGGAUGGAACACGCAUGUGUGGGGUCCGUGUGAAAGUCGAAAUGUCAACAGGACGCUCUCGACGUGACCGCUUCCAUUCCCCUCCCAGACGUGGUGGUGGUGGGGGAAGACGGUCGAGGACUAUCUCGCCCAAAUUACUUCUUGUUCCACCACCACCAUCUACUCCUCCUACUGUUGCUACCACACCACCACCACCAACUCCACCACAACCACCACCACCACCACAAGUACUUCCACCACCACCACCACCACCACCACUGCUAGCAUCAGCGUCAGCCUGCUUGUACAGUGGACUUCCAGUUUUGGGUUGUAGGGGUAGAUGGGACGCCACAUUGUGGGCGUCCCUCACACCCAUCACCUCAUACCUCAGUGGGAAUGCAACUUGGUUCAGCACUAUAUGUUGAUCAAGUAACUCUCCAGGAUGGUAAAGUGUGACAGUAUUUCGUAAUACUUUUAUGCUUUACUGAUCUAAGGAUGGCAUUGCAUACCAGUGUUGGUAAGGUGGUGGGCCCUGAUCAGCCAAGGCAUGUGCAGCGGUGGUGGUGCGCGGCACGUUGCCUGAUGGCCCUCCUCCGGCGCGGCACCUCAUGGCACCCGGGCAGCCCUUAUGCGCUUCACGUGUCCUCUUCUCCCCGCCCGUCUACGUCUACCCUCCGCCCAACGCCCGCCCGCUGCCUGCGCACCAUCAGGCCUGCCCCCCCACCCACCAUCUUGGGUCUCUGACCCUUCAACGCUCGCUCCACUUUCUUACAUUCAUCGCGCCUCGACUCAUCAUAACGGCUACCCUGCUGUGACGGUCACGAUCUCCCAGGCGUUUUGGAGGCGGCGGUCGUGGUGGUGGACGCUCACGUUCUCGCUCGCCCCGCAGGUCGCGCUCACGUUCUCCAAGUGACCAUGAAUAUGAGGCAAGGUAAUGUUUCU